AAAGUACUCCCUCCGUCCCAAAAUUCUUGUCUUAGAUUUGUCUAGAUACGGAUGUAUCAAGUCACAUUUUAGUAUUAGAUACAUCUGUAUCUAGACAAAUCUAAGAAAAGAAAUUUGGGAUAGAGGGAGUAGUUG
rnacentral:pre_miRNA from 1 species